GACGAACGCUGGCGGCGUGCUUAACACAUGCAAGUCGAACGGAAAGGCCCUGCUUUUGUGGGGUGCUCGAGUGGCGCACGGGUGAGUAACACGUGAGUAACCUGCCCUUGACUUUGGGAUAACUUCAGGAAACUGGGGCUAAUACCGGAUAGGAGCUCCUGCUGCAUGGUGGGGGUUGGAACGUUUCGGCGGGUGGGGAUGGACUCGCGGCUUAUCAGCUUGUUGGUGGGGUAGUGGCUUACCAAGGCUUUGACGGGUAGCCGGCCUGAGAGGGUGACCGGCCACAUUGGGACUGAGAUACGGCCCAGACUCCUACGGGAGGCAGCAGGGGGGAAUAUUGCACAAUGGGCGGAAGCCUGAUGCAGCAACGCCGCGUGCGGGAUGACGGCCUUCGGGUGGUAAACCGCUUUCGCCUGUGACGAAGCGUGAGUGACGGUAAUGGGUAAAGAAGCACCGGCUAACUACGUG
rnacentral:rRNA from 1 species